UCCAACAGCUGGUGAAUGGAUUUAAAGCCAGCUGGCAACAGAGAGGAUUAGCAUGGCCCCUGUGCAGGGAUAACAUGCAAAUCUGUGACACAUUCUAUAUUUUU